UUCGGAAUCACUGGGCUUAAAGGGCGCGUAGGCGGGCAUUAAAGUCAGGGGUGAAAUCCCCCAGCUUAACUGGGGAACUGCCUUUGAUACUGAAUGUCUCGAGUAAGGUAGGGGCAUGCGGAACUGAUGGUGGAGCGGUGAAAUGUGUUGAUAUCAUCAGGAACUCCGGUGGCGAAGGCGGCAUGCUGGACCUUCACUGACGCUGAGGCGCGAAAGCCAGGGGAGCAAACGGG
rnacentral:rRNA from 1 species